rnacentral:rRNA from 1 species
AUUGAACGCUGGCGGCAGGCCUAACACAUGCAAGUCGAACGAGUGGCGGACGGGUUAGUAAUGUCUGGGAAACUGCCCGCUGGAGGGGGAUAACUACUGGAAACUGUAGCUAAUACCGCAUACCAUCGGAUGUGCCCAGAUGGGAUUAGCUAGUAGGUGGGGUAAAGGCUCACCUAGUCGACGAUCCCUAGCUGGGCUGAGCGGAUGACCAGCCACACUGGAACUGAGACACGGUCCAGACUCCUACGGGAGGCAGCAGUGGGGAAUAUUGCACAAGGGGCGCAAGCCGGAUGCAGCCAUGCCGCGUGUAUGAAGAAGGCCUUCGGGUUGUAAAGUACUUUCAGCGGGGAGGCGUUACCCGCAGAAGAAGCACCGGCUAACUACGUGCCAGCAGCCGCGGUAAUAC